ensembl:lncRNA
CCAAAACUACCAUAAUUAUUGAUCUGCAGAUUUCAUUCAAAUAUAAGGACUCUAUGGAUGAAAGGCAUAUGCAACUUAAAAGUUUGCUUCUAAGACUAGGAAGAUGCCUCAAUGGGUGAACAUUUAUUCUAUAGAAAUAUGAGGAACUGUGCCCCGGCCCAUGGGUUUUUGGUAAUUCAUGGGUCUCGAGGGGGACUAAGCCUGAAAAUAAAUGGGCGAGAAAGAAAGAUCGAGACCAAGCAAUGUGUUGUCAAGGUCUGUUUAUUGAAUUUAAGCAAGGCGUUUUUAAAGAGAAAGGAGGAAGUAAAGAAAGAGGAAGUAAGGGAGGGGAGGAAUGGGUGUUAAAUGCCCUCAGGCCUGGGCAGGUGUUCCAGAACUUUCUUGUGGUUUAUCUCAGAACACUAACCUAAGGGGUGGGUUGCUUGACUAAAUUGGCGGUUUAGCAUGGAGGUCUCCAAGCCUCUUGUAAUGAAGACUUUUAUAUCUGACCAGGGCUGGCUCCUGACAGAACUGAGUUAGAAUCCCUAGCGCCACUAUCAAAAGUCAUUAAUGGCCAUAGAUGCCUGUCAUCUCAACACAUGCUGGAGGUGGGGGGGGCAAGAUUGAUGGAGCUUGCUGACCAUUCAACUAGCCAGAAAAUAGUGAUUCCCAAGUUCAGUGAGAGACCCUUUCUCAAGGUAAUAAAGUGGAGAGUGAUAGAGCAUGGUUCCCAGUAUCCUCCUCUAAUCUCCAAAUAUUGUGUAUGCAUAAGCAAAUGUGAGUGCACACACACACAAACACACAUGAGUGCACACACAUACACACUUUAAGUUUUCUUCUGUUCUCACACAGUGUUUGGUUGCAGGUUCUUUAUCUUGAAUUGAAGGAACCAGCUUCCCUUUUGGCAGCCAUAACGGCCGAACACAUGUUUCUAUGACCUUGCCCUUGACACUAGAAAGUCAUAUGCCUGUCUCGUGACAAGGAACCAAUCAGAAGUUAGCUGGUGGUGCUAUGCUUUACGACCCUGGGUGUGCUUUACGGACAAGCGCACAGCAAUGACGUAGAGAUCAUAGCAACCACCCUGGGAGGGCCUAUGGGCCAUAACAACCAGUUGACCAAUCAACACAGGGCAAGCCCUCCAAGCCUGGAGGCACACCAAUCGUGAGCCUGUGCGUACCCCUAGACACUCCCCUUACGCUACCCUAUAAGAUCUUGUGGGAGCCCCUAGGAGUCGUCUUUUCUAGCUGUCUGCCAUGGCAGGUGGGUGAAAGACCCGAGCUAACAUGGGGUUAGCUCGUUAAAUUACAAUAAAGCCUCGUGCAGUUUGCAGCAAGCUCUCGAAUCCACCUGGUGAUUGGGGUGACCUCGAACGUGGCCUGGGACCCCGGAUACUUGAGUUUUCGGGGGUCUAACAGAAUGUGCCUUUUAUGCACAUAUUUGGUGUCUUAGUUGGGUUUCUGUUGCUGUAAAGAGACAUCAUGAACACAGUAACUCUUAUACAGGAAAAUAUUUAAUUGGGGCUGGCUUACAGUUUCAGAGAUUUAGUCCAUUAUCAUCAUGGCGGUUUGCAGGCAGACAUGGUUGCCUGGGCCUAGCUUGUAUCAGUCCCAUGCUACAGAGGCUGUCUAUUCUAGACUGAUGUCUUUGGGGGCUGUGAUCAGAGCCAGCUGAAUGACCCGGGGUCCAUCCCUGAGUCGGGGAGUGCUGGACGAGGAAACUCCCAGCUACCCAAGGUGAUAAAAACCAGACACAGACUUCUUGUCAUUUCAGUAGGGUUCUCAGUCCAUCCUGGAGUCUGGAGUCCAUGGUUUAUUCAAGCAUCCUCUUAAAUAGCUUUCCAACAGUGGAGGUGACAGCAGAAGACUCUCAUGUACAAAGCUGAUAUCAAUUGCCUCCUUUAAUCCUAGAGACAACCCUAAACAGCCCCUAGGCAUGUAAACAAGUCCUUAGAAUAGGUGUGGGUACACCCAGGGCCUAGGUCUGUUGUUAUGCAAACUAGAAAACAUUCUCCACUGAGGCCAAGCCAUCUGGUGGUAAUUAGCCAGCAUCUGAAAGACAAUGAGAGAUUCAGGCCCCUGGAAAUCAAGCUGAGGUUUGGACCCCAAAGCUUUAUAAUCAAUAUUUUUGGGCCCCAAUACAUGGUGCUAGAGAAGGAGCUCAGAGUUCUACUUCUUGAUUCACAGUGAAAGACUUAAAAAUUAACAAAGAAAUAUAACCCAGAUAAGGAAACUCUCCAAACUGAAUGUAAGGCAGCCUAACCCAGAAAUUAAGGCCACUACUAUGACUUAGUGCCUGGAAUUUACCAGCUUACAAGGCCAUAAGAUAACUGGGUAUCAAGAAUUCCCAAAUGGCCAACCUCCCCGAGGGGCUCAUGGAGGAAACAGAUUGCCCCACUGGCCAAUGUGUCAAUAAUUAACAAUUAUGGGUCCCUAUGAAACAAAGAGAUAGCUACCAUUUGCUCAGGCAAGAUAAGCAUAUCCUGAGGUCUGCAGGUUUUACAACUGGUGGGUCAGGAGGCCAUCUGAUUCCCAGGCCUCCCCUCAAGACAAAGGGCCUCCUAGGAACCCAUGACUCUGGUCACAUAUUCAAUGGGCAGAGAGUCGAGGCCCCUCCCUAAGCUUAUGGUUUUUGCCUUUAAAAACGCCUGUGCCUGGGGGACAGGGCUGCUCUCUAGCCUGCAUGCUGGGAGAGCCCGUUUGUACAAACCUUUCAUUAAAGCCUCUUGCUGUUUGCAUCAAGUUUCCGCCUCCUCGUGAUGAUUGGGGUGGCUGCAGUCCUGGGAAAAGAUUCUGGAGGCCUGAGCUUCCCGGGGUCUCACACCAAGUAGCAGAAGCAACUGUGUCACUGGCAUAGCAUGAGCAUAUUUAAGACCACAAAGUCCGCCUCCACAGUGACACACUUCUUCUAACAAGGCCACACCUCCUAAUAGUGCUGCUUCCUAUGGCCACACAUUCAAACACACGAGUCUGUAGGGGCCAUACCAAUUCAAAUCACCACAUCUAGGAAAUAAAGUAUUUUGGAAAACUUUCCAUGAUCUGUCAAUGAACAGAAGACACUUGCUGAAAUCUUGAGGAUAAGUAGGCAAGGCUAUGUUUUGUGCAGUCUUGAUUUACUUUCUAUUGUUGUGAGUAUACUAUGGCUAAGACAUAUAUAGACAAAAAGAAUUGAUUUGGGACUGACAGUUUCACAGGGUUAGAGUCCAUGACUAUCAUAGCAGACAGCAUGGCAACAGGCAGACAAGCUUGGCACUGGAGCAGUAGCUGGGAGCUUACAUCUUGAUUCACAAAUAAGAGGCAGAGAGCGCUAACUGAGAGUGACAGACCUACUCCAGGAAGAGCACACCUCCCAAUCCUUCCUAAACUUUUCCAUCAACUGGAGACUAAAUAUUCAGAUAUAUAUGCCUAUAGAGAUAAUUCUCAUUGAAAUCACAACAUUCUACUCUCUAACCCACAUAGGCUUAUAUCAUAAUGUAAGACACAUUUAGUACAACUUCAAGUGUCCCCGUAAUAUUUGAGUCUGAAUACACUUUAAAGUCCCAAAGUCUCUUCUGAGACUCAAGGAAAUUUGUUAAUUGUAACACUUAUAAAAAUAAAAAGGCCUUACAUGUGAAACAAGCUUGUUCCCUAACUUGAACUAAUAAAAAAAAUUAAAAAAAAAUAAAUAAAAAAUAAAAAGGCAAGUUAUGAACUUCCAACAUAUAUAAUAAUGGCAUAGAAUAUGCAUUACCAUUCCAAAAUGUAGGAAUGGGGGCAAAAUGAAGAAAUACUGCACCAAAGCAAGACCAAACCCCCACAGGGCAAACUCCAAAACCUGUAACUCCAUUUCCAAUGUCAGGGGGCUUAGAUGACUCCACCUCUCCUGCAUUGUUGACUGUAAUAUGCUUCUGUCCCUUGAGCUGGUUCCACUCCCUGUGUGCAGCUCUCCUUGGCAGGUAUCCCAUGGUUCUGGCAUGUCCAACAUUUGAGGUCUCCAAGACGACCCAGGCUUCACUUUCACAGCUUCACUGAUUGACCUCUCAGAGACUCCAUGCAAGAGCCCCACUGCCUCAUGCCUGGCUUCAGCAUCUUUCUUAAUCACAGAGGAAGAUUCCACAACCUCACUCCUGGUGUGUCUGUCACUGCUCUAAAGCCAGAAUCCUGUGAACAACAUGACCAAAUCUGAGGCUGUCACCUGACCCUUCCCUGAAUUACAUUUGCAGAAACUUUCUUUUGUUGCUUUUUAUGAGAAGAAAAUUCCCAGGCCUUUCUUUCUAGCAAGCUUAGAUGGGUGAGAUCUUGCUCUGAGGGCACCCUACCCCUUAUUCCAAUUCGUGUCAGACCUCUCUUUACCUCCUUUAGCACAAGCCUUGGCUCCAGCAUUAAAUGUCCUGGUGCUCUUUUUCACUUCAGUGAAUAUGGUCUAAAUUUCCUUUUGUCCUUCUCAUUCUUUUCGUUACUUAUCUUAUUUAGGAAGCCUUCCAUUGGCCUCCUCAUCCCGGGAUCACAUGGUGACUCUGGAGGAAGAGAGAGGGGGUCAGCUUCCUUCUUGUCCUUGUUUAUAUAUGAGUCUCCCUGCCAUGUCAUUUCCUGUGGAUCACCACUUCUCUAC